rnacentral:rRNA from 1 species
UACGAAGGGGGCUAGCGUUGCUCGGAAUUACUAGGCGUAAAGCGCACGUAGGCGGCUCUUUAAGUCGGGGGUGAAAUCCUGGAGCUCAACUCCAGAACUGCCUUCGAAACUGACGAUCUUGAGUUCGGGAGAGGUAAGUGGAAUUCCGAGUGUAGAGGUGAAAUUCGUAGAUAUUCGGAAGAACACCAGUGGCGAAGGCGACUUACUGGACACAUAUUGACGCUGAGGUGCGAAAGCGUGGGGAGCAAACAGG